CAAAUAUCCGCUUUCUUAAUUCCCGUGAUUUUAGCAAAAGGGUCUUAUAAUUAGGGACGGAUGGAGUAUAUUUAUUUAAUCUUGUUAUCUACUAAUUCGUUUUGUGAGAUCAUGAGAAUGUACUGAGAACGUUCUGGCAUAUACGAAGAAGAUAAAACAGUACAUCAAAAGUGAACAAGUUUGCAGCAACAAGUAAGCCUGGAAGAUUAUUAUUUGAAAGAUGUCUCUUGGGCCAUAAGAAAAGAAUUCAACCCAUUUGGAUGCAAAAGGCCCAUAAAGAAUAAAAUAUUUCACUCAUGGAUAAGAGCACAUGGCUUAUUAAAACCUGACAUCACUAAAGCAAAAGGACAUGACAUAAUCAGAAUUGAGCAACAAGUAAAACAGCUCAUUACAGCUGGUUCUCUCACUCGCAAGCAAGCAACAGUGCAAGCAAAGUUAUGCAAAUCAGACAUAACAUUCUGAGAUCAUUCUGUCUAUUUUUAAGAAGAAAAAUGAAAUCAAUUAGGACUUUGGACAGCUAUCAAAAAUGUGUCCAACAACUCUAUUUGCACCAUUGAUCACCAAGACACUCAUCACCUAUAAAUACAAGUGGUUUUGAAUUUUAAAGGCAAGAGUUUUGAAAGAAAAUAUUCUCUCAAGUGAAAAACAUCACUACAAACAAAGC
rnacentral:lncRNA from 1 species